AUGGCGGCAGCAGCGGUGAUGCUGCUAUUGUUUUUCGCCUCCUGCAUGCAUGCCGCCGUGUUCUGCGCGGCCGCGGGUUUCGACGAGGUGCCGACGGUGGCCUUCGACGAGGCCUUCGCGCCGCUCUUCGGCGAGUCAAACAUGGUUCGCUCCUCCGGCGGCGACGCCGUGAGCAUCACCCUGGACCGCAGCACCGGCUCCGGCUUCAUCUCCAAGCGCUACUACCACCACGGGCUCUUCAGCGCGGACGUCAAGCUCCCCGCCGGCCACACGGCCGGCGUCGUCGUUGCCUUCUAUCUCUCCAACGGCGACGUCUUCGAGGCCACCCACGACGAGCUGGACUUCGAGUUCCUCGGCAACCGCGCGGGCCACCGGUGGCGGAUGCAGACCAACGUGUACGGCAACGGCAGCACGGCGCGCGGCCGGGAGGAGCGGUACGUGCUUCCCUUCGACCCCACCGCCGCGAAGCACAGGUUCUCCAUCCUCUGGUCCUCCAGUUCCGUCGUUUUCUACGUCGACGGCACCCCCGUCCGCGAGGCGCAGCACCGCCGUAGUCGCCGUCGUUUUACGGACGGCGGCAUGGGUCCCGACGGCGACGACAGUGACAUGGGCGCUGACUACCCGUCCAAGCCCAUGGCGGUGUACGUGACCAUCUGGGAUGGCUCCACCUGGGCCACCGAGAACGGCAAGCACACGGUGGACUACAGGCACGGGCCCUUCACCGCCGACUUCUCGGGGCUCGUGCUCCGCGGCUGCCCCGCCGACGCCACCGGCGCAGACAUCCGCCAGCUCCACCUCGGCGCUUCCACGCAGCGGUGCGCCACGGCGGAGUGGGAGCUGAUGACGGCGGAGUACGCGGUCAUGACGGCACGGAAGCGCGCGGACAUGCGGCGGUUCAGGCGGAGGCAGAUGGUGUACACGGUGUGCUACGACACGGACCGGUACCCGGCGGCGCUGCCGGAGUGCGAGGUGAACGCGGCGGAGCGGCAGAUGUUCGAGCGGUGGGGAGAGUCCAAGGCCUCGUUCCGCUCCCGGACGACUGCGCCGGCGCCGCUUGUGUCCAUGAUGCAGGCCGCCGACUGA
rnacentral:rRNA from 1 species